rnacentral:rRNA from 1 species
GACGAACGCUGGCGGCGUGCUUAACACAUGCAAGUCGUACGGUAAGGCCCUUUCGGGGGUACACGAGUGGCGAACGGGCGAGUAACACGUGAGUAACCUGCCCACAACUUUGGGAUAACGCUAGGAAACUGGCGCUAAUUCUGGAUAUGUGCUCCUGCCGCCUGGAGGGGGUUGGAAAGCUCCGGCGGUUGUGGAUGGACUCGCGGCCUAUCAGCCUGUUGGUGGGGUAGUGGCCUACCAAGGCGGCGAUGGGUAGCCGGCCUGCGAGGGUGACCGGCCAAAAUGGGGCUGAGGUACGGCCCAGACUCCUACGGGGGGCAGCAGGGGGGAAUAUUGCACAAAGGGCGCGAGCCUGAUGCAGCAACGCCGCGGGCGGGAAGACGGCCUUCGGGUUGUAAACCGCUUUCAGCAGGGACGAAGCUUUUUGUGACGGUACCUGCAGAAGAAGCACCGGCUAACUACGUG